rnacentral:rRNA from 1 species
GCUAGUAAUCGCGGAUCAGCUACGCCGCGGUGAAUACGUUCCCGGGCCUUGUACACACCGCCCGUCACGCCAUGGAAGCCGGGAGUGCCCGAAGUCCGUGUCCCAACCGCAAGGAGGGAGCGGCCUAAGGCAAGCUCGGUGACUGGGGCGAAGUCGUAACAAGGUAGCCGUAGGGGAACCUGCGGCUGGAUCACCUCCUUUCUGGA